rnacentral:lncRNA from 1 species
UAAAAAAUAACAAUAAUAAUACUAACUAAAACCAUCAAUUUGGGUUUUUAUUAAUCUUAAUAACUAACAAUAAUAACUAAACUAACAACAAAAAAUAAUAAAAAUUAUACAAAAAAAACAUAGUAACAAGAUAAUCCAUUAAUUUUUUUAAAAAUACCUUAUUUUUUCUAUUUUUUUCUUCUCUUUCUCUCCUUUUCCGGCACCACC